UUAGCAUUUUGAACUUCGAUUGCUCGAAGAGGCACAUACAGGGACAGCAGAUUGAAGACUUCUUGGCUUCCAUCCAGUGGAUUGUGAAAUUGGAAAACCAACAGAUUGGGAAAACUUCGUUGGGAUUAUUACUCUUCUGGACAUUAACUCGACCAUCAGUUUUAUGGAGGAGAACAAUGCGGAUAAUGCCUUUCGUUGUCUGCAAUUUGUUAUUAAUGAGCAGAGAAAAUUAAUUUUAGUUAAUUAUGAUUUGAAUUCAGAGAGUUGCUGAAGGUUGUGAUUUAAGUUAAUAUUGAUGUGGUUUUUCUUUUGUCCUUUCUGUUGGUUAGUUUUAAUUUGAAUUGCUAGAGGGACAAGGAAGAUAAUAAAUUCUAAACUAUGGCAUGUUUGUUCCAUUGUUUUC